rnacentral:rRNA from 1 species
UACGUAGGGUGCAAGCGUUGUUCGGAAUUACUGGGCGUAAAGGGAGCGUAGGCGGGUUCGUAAGUUAGGAGUUUAAUACAUGGGCUCAACCCAUGGCUUGCUUUUAAGACUGCGAAUCUUGAGUAUGGGAGAGGGCGAUGGAAUUCCAGGUGUAGCGGUGGAAUGCGUAGAUAUCUGGAAGAACACCAGUAGCGAAGGCGGUCGCCUGGCCCAAUACUGACGCUGAGGCUCGAAAGCUAGGGGAGCAAACAGG